UCUCAAUAUAUUCUUUACAACUGAUUGAUAGAAGGAAAUGAAGAAUUGAGUUAAUGAACAGCCCACGUACCAGUUCAUAUCUUAGAAUAUAAUAUACAAAAUGUAUACUCAUCAUGAAAGCCACUGAAGAAGACUAACUGUUGAAAAGCGUCUGGCUAUGGUAUACAUUGUGCAUUCUAUGGGCAUUGAUUUAUGUACAUUGGCCACUGUUUACAAGUUGCCCUUGAUUUCCACACUGAUA